GUCAAGGAGGUUGGAGGAGGUCGGGAUGGGUUGGAGGACCUCAAGCGUUGAGAACAUGGCUUGGAAGACCUCGAGAAGGUUGGAGGAUGUGGGGUGGAGGACCUCAAGGAGGGUGAAGGACAAGAGUUGGAGGAGGUUGAGGAGGUUGGAGGAGGUAGAGAUGGGUUGGAGGACAUCAACGUUUGAGAACAUGGCUUGGAGGACCUCGAAGAGGUUGGAGGAGAAGAGUUGGAGGAGGUUGGAGGAGGUGGAGAUGGGUUGGAGGACCUCAAGGAGGGUGGAAGAUAUGGGGUGGAGGAGGUGUAGGAGGUUGGAGGAGGUUGGGAUGGGUUGGAGGACCUCAACGGGGUUUGAGGACAUGGGUUGGAGGACCUCGAGGAGGUUUGGGGACACGAAUUUGGGGACA
rnacentral:lncRNA from 1 species